UACGUAGGGUGCAAGCGUUGUCCGGAAUUAUUGGGCGUAAAGAGCUCGUAGGCGGUCUGUCGCGUCGGCUGUGAAAACCCGGAGCUCAACUCCGGGCCUGCAGUCGAUACGGGCAGACUGGAGUUCGGCAGGGGAGACUGGAAUUCCUGGUGUAGCGGUGAAAUGCGCAGAUAUCAGGAGGAACACCGGUGGCGAAGGCGGGUCUCUGGGCCGAUACUGACGUGGAGGAGCGAAAGCGUGGGGAGCGAACAGG
rnacentral:rRNA from 1 species